GGUGAUGGCAAUGGUCAACAACGGAUUGCAAAUCCGUGUACACGAGUUCGAUUCUCGUACUCGCCUCCA
rnacentral:tRNA from 1 species